rnacentral:piRNA from 1 species
UCCAUGAGUUUACUCUGAGUUGACAGGCGA